UACGGAGGGGGCAAGCGUUGUUCGGAGUUACUGGGCGUAAGGCGCGCGUAGGCGGUGCGGUAAGUCAGGGGUUAAAGGCUGCAGCUCAACUGCAGUAAGGCCUUUGAUACUAUCGCGCUAGAGUACCAGAGAGGAUGGCGGAAUUCCCGGUGUAGCGGUGAAAUGCGUAGAUAUCGGGAGGAAUACCGGUGGCGAAGGCGCCCCUCUGGACGGGUACUGACGCUGAGGCGCGAAAGCGUGGGGAGCAAACAGG
rnacentral:rRNA from 1 species